UACGUAGGGUCCGAGCGUUGUCCGGAAUUACUGGGCGUAAAGAGCUCGUAGGCGGUUUGUCGCGUCUGCCGUGAAAGUCCGGGGCUCAACUCCGGAUCUGCGGUGGGUACGGGCAGACUAGAGUGAUGUAGGGGAGACUGGAAUUCCUGGUGUAGCGGUGAAAUGCGCAGAUAUCAGGAGGAACACCGAUGGCGAAGGCAGGUCUCUGGGCAUUAACUGACGCUGAGGAGCGAAAACAUGGGGAGCGAACAGG
rnacentral:rRNA from 1 species